GACGAACGCUGGCGGCGUGCUUAACACAUGCAAGUCGAACGGACAGACAGAGAGCUUGCUCUCUUGAAGUUAGUGGCGAACGGGUGAGUAACGCGUAAUCAACCUGCCCUUCAGAGGGGGAUAACAACGGGAAACCGUUGCUAAUACCGCGUACGAUUCAUGAACGGCAUCGUUUAUGAAUGAAAGGUGGCCUCUAUGUAUAAGCUAUCGCUGAAGGAGGGGAUUGCGUCUGAUUAGCUAGUUGGAGGGGUAACGGCCCAACAAGGCAAUGAUCAGGAGCCGGUCUGAGAGGAGGCACGGCCACAUUGGGACGGAGACACGGCCCAAACUCCUGCGGGAGGCAGCAGUGGGGAAUCGUCCGCAAUGGACGAAAGUCUGACGGAGCAACGCCGCGUGAGUGAUGAAGGUCUUCGGAUUGUAAAGCUCUGUUAAUCGGGACGAAAGAGUUCUGCGUGAAUAAUGCAGAAAAGUGACGGUACCGGAAUAGAAAGCCACGGCUAACUACGUGCCAGCCGCCGCCGUAA
rnacentral:rRNA from 1 species